ACAACACCUCUCUUAACUCUCCCUUACAACGCAACCGCCUCCUUCACCCCAAAAGUCUUUCGUUGGCCACCACUCUUCAAAAACCCACAAGACGUUGCACCCGCCGUGGAUCGACGCUGCACCUCUCGCCUUCACCAUCUUCGUCAAUGGCUGGACGAAUCGAGACUAACCAAACAACAUCAAACGUCUUUUCUUCGUGUAACCUAAACAACCUACUAACCUUCUAAAACACUCGGUCGAUUGACUCUUGGUCCCAUAUAGCGCCGACGACUCGAUCCCGACAACAUACACUCCAGCGAGACCACCCAUAAAAUCAGUGGGAUUUGCUUGGGAGCGUACGGUUGUUGAGCUUUGAGGAUCAUGUCCACUGUUGAAGCUUCUCGAAUGUGGAGGAUGUGCAGCUGACAUGGAAGGUUCGAGUAGCAGUUGUCCAUUAGGUCUAGGAUUUCUCUAGAAAGGGUGAUGUAGGUUUCGGGUAAUUUUAAUAUGGUAAUGGGUUAAUGGGUCAUGACUUGUAAUGUAAUGUUUAAUUUGAUUGGGUUUAGCUUUUGUCAAGAAUGAAAUGAAUUUGUAAUUGGACUUUAAUGGUCAUUUGGACAUUUAAUUUGGUCAUUGGGUCAAUAGAUUUUAUAGUUGGUUAUUGAGU